ACGUAGGGUGCGAGCGUUGUCCGGAAUUAUUGGGCGUAAAGAGCUUGUAGGCGGUUUGUCGCGUCUGUCGUGAAAAUCCAUGGCUUAACUGUGGACGUGCGGUGGGUACGGGCAGGCUAGAGUGUGGUAGGGGAGACUGGAAUUCCUGGUGUAGCGGUGAAAUGCGCAGAUAUCAGGAGGAACACCGAUGGCGAAGGCAGGUCUCUGGGCCAUAACUGACGCUGAGAAGCGAAAGCAUGGGGAGCGAACAG
rnacentral:rRNA from 1 species